AACACAGUGGCUCAUUGUGUUAGAGCAUAGUGCUAAAAACUCCAUGGUUGUGGGUUCAAACCUCACCUGUAACU